rnacentral:rRNA from 1 species
CAUGUUUUCUACCAACAAGCAAGGAAUAACACGUGAAUUUUUUCUGGUUUAUUAGUUCCCACUAGAGCAUCUAUUAUUCUGUCGAGGAAGAAGUAAAGAAUAAUUGGUGUAUUUUUUGUGAUUGCCAACUGAUGAGACUAUCUGGGAAAGAAUAGUUCUCGAUGUAAUUCUUCAUGUGCCUACCACAUUGACAUUCUGUUCGGCUAUUUUUUUGGUUGUGUCGAAUAUAGUUUUCAAGCAAGUCCUGCACAUCAACCGAAAAUAAUAUAGUUUUCAAGCAAGUCCUGCUAUUUUUUUCCGGUUGCGUCGAAUAUCUACCAUUUUUAGAGAAGUAAAAGUCAGGCAAAUGACAUCUUAGGCACACAUUAGUAGGUGGUAGUGAGUAUUUUAGGAUGAUCAGGAUUAUGGAAAUAGACUUUCCAAAAAUCUGUUUGUCCACAAUAAUAGGCAAGUCACACAUUAAACUAUAGCAAGUCUCUUGCAGUUGUCAGGCAAAUCCUGAUUUUUGGAGUUGUCGCAAGUCACACGUAAAAUACUUUGCAAGGCCGAUAUAGUUGUCAAGCAAGUCCUGCUUUUCUCCUAUGCGCACCUUUUUUAAGGUGGUACAAAAGGUUUUUGGGAUGUUCAGAAUGUGGAAACAGUAUAUUUUUAAAAACUUUGUUGUCCACAAAAUAUUAGGCAACUCACACAUAAAACUGAAGCAAGUCCUAUACAGGGUGUCAAGCAAAUCCUGAUCUUUGGUACCCAGAACGGAAUCAAACCGAAACUACCUUUUCAUUUGUAUUCAUUUUCUUAGUAAUAAAUGGUUUUUUCGUUGUUGUCCAACAAAUAACAGCUCAAGAAGGAGUUUUCCGGGUGUGUGGAUGAUAGUUUGUUCAGCAGCAUGGACCAUGCCAUGAAAUUGGUGACGGCAAGACUCCCAGACUCAUAUGACAAAAAGGAAGGAGUUACAGGAGAUGGAACCACUGGUGGGGCGGUAGAAUUUUUUUCUGUUGAGGGCGAUAGUGUGUAGGAGCAACCUUUCUUGUUUAGGACAAUGUGUGGACAUGUAUUUACUUUUUUGGGGUGUGUGCUCCAGGGGACUAGCCAGCCAACGGUUGCUGGCUAGCCGUGUCCAUUAAAGAAUAGGCAUGAGACGCUAUCAACCAAGCUUUUCAAGUUGUAGAGCAUGCUUGGUGAGGUGCUAUCGCACAGGUUGACAUUCGGUGGCGCGAUUCACACGUACUACUCCGUCGCUGAGUGCAAGCCGGCGCGCCCGACUAGAAGAAACCUGCACCUUCUCAAUAAUGGUGUUUUUUCUUUGGAUGAACCCAGGCAUUAUCAAUUACGAUUUUAUAUUUCUUUAUAAAGGGAGUACCCAGGAGGCUGACAAUGAAUCUGAAUACAUCCGAGAAGAAAGGACGGAG